CGUGAGAUUUGAAGACACGUCGCGAGAUCUCACCUGAACCAGUCACGGGAUCCGCCUCGGAUUUGCGGUUUCGGCCGUUCCAACUUCCGGUGCAGGGACCGGAAACGCGCUGCGAGGGACUGAGCAAAAAUAGCCUGUUGGGGCCAAACCGUAAGGGAUAUCCACGAAUCCCAUCAUGAGGACUCCACCCUCAUCACCUAAUCUAACCCUGAUUACCUCCUAAAGGCCCAUCUCCAAAUACCAUCAUACUGGGUAUCAGGGCUUCAACACAUGGAUUUUAGAAAAACACAAACCUUCAGUCCAUAACAUCUCUUUUCUGGGAAACAAUGAGGAAGCUAACAGCAGUGUUCAACAUAGGCACAUACUAAAUAAAGUUCAGUCACCUAUCGGAGUGCCAAAUAAUUCAAGCCUUAUACAUACUUACAAAAUUUGGAGACAAGUUAUGUUUAUAAAGCUGAAGAGUGGAAUGAAGCAGGUUGGACACAAGACUGGAAACCAAGACUUCCUUUCCCAAUUUAUUAUCUGUCAUUCGUCUCUGGCUACUGGCCACUUGAACAGUCCAUUUAUCCAUAUCUGCUAUAAUACAGACAGCCUCUGCUAUUGGUUCAUCCAACACUGGAUGCUGGAAAAAAGAAUUCAUCUUAUGAUAAGUAAAUGAAGUUUUCAAAUAAAUGUUAAUGAAAAUAAGGCAAGAGAUAUUAAACAAAAACAGAAUAAAAGGAUAUUAAAUUCUGACAACUACUGCCAAAGAAUCCUUGACAGUAGAAAAUGGAAUAUUUAAUUAACUCAGUAACAAAUACCGUGAGAUAACUUAUAGAAAUCAUCACUGGGGGCACCUGGGUGGCAUUGGUUAAGUCAUGAUCUCAGGGUUGGGCUCUGUGCUCAGCGGGGAGUCUGCAUGAGUUUCUCUCUCUCCCUCUCUCCCCCCGCAAAUAAAUAAAUCUUAAAACAAAAAAAAAGGAAAAAAAGAAAUUAUCACUGUUGAGAUUCAUUGCCAGAACUUUGUAUUCUUUUUUUAAGUUUUGAUUUAAACAUUUUAACAUUUAAACAUUAAUAUUUAAAAAACUGAUGCAAAAAGAAUUCACAUGAGCAAGUCAAAGCUAAGGUUCUGUGCUAACUAUCCCAACUCGUCAGACAUUAAUUUGUUUGAGCACCUCAAGGGCUAUCACUUGAUUACAUGAAAUACCUUGCUGCUUAUGUUCCCUAGGUUUUUCUAUUUUACCAUAAUGUAUAUCCACAAUAUAGCUAACAGCAAUUAAAAAAGGAAACCAAUCACCAGGUACUAAUAUGGCUCUCCAAGACAUAUGGUUAAAUCAGAAAAAAAAGUCAUUAAACACCUAGACACACGUGCACACAGGCACCCACAUAUACAUAUUAUAUCCAUCCCAGUUACAUUUUUUAAAAUUAGUAUCUAUAUCUAAACAAAUGUAUAGAGAGAAGAAUGAAAAUAUUCAAAUCAGACUCUAUCAUGAAGAUCUCUGUGAAGAAGUAUGGAAUAUUAAGAGUACAAUUAAGGAUGUCUUUUUGCUUUUGUGUAUCUUUAUUUUGUUGGAAUUCCUAUCAGAAGCAUUUACCUAAUUGAUACUUUUAUAAUUAGAAAGUUUAAGGCAUAAUGAAAAAUAAUUUAAACAUAUACAAAAUAAAAGGCCCAUAGCACAUCGCUGUACCCUUGGCUUCUCAUGGUUUAUACACAAAGACCAAAAUUGACAAUUAAGUACAAAGCACCAUUAUCAAAAAGAAAUGAUGGAGAAAAGAAGAAAAGACAGAAAAGAAAAAAGAAAAAGAGAAGAAAGAGAAGAGAAGAAAGAAAAGAGAGAAAAGAAAGAAAAGAAAAAAAAAAAAGAAAGAAAGAAAAAAGAUCCUACAGGGGCGCCUGGGUGGCUCAGUCGUUAAGCGUCUGCCUUCGGCUCAGGUCCUGAUCCCAGGGUCCUGGGAUCAAGCCCUGCAUCGGGCUCCCUGCUCCGCGGGAAGCCUGCUUCUCCCUCUCCAACUCCCCCUGCUUGUGUUCCCUCUCUUGCUGUCUCUCUGUCAAAUAAAUAAAAUCUUUAAAAAAAAAAAAGAAAAGAUCCUACAGUGCUCAACAUUUCAACAUCUUUCUAUAUUUAGAAAGCUAAGGAUUUAUUCACCACUGGCCAUAUGGAAUAGCAGUAAUAAAACUGAGAUUAAAAACUGUAAUUUGAGGGGCACCUGGGUGGCUCAGUCAUUAAGCGUCUGCCUUCAGCUCAGGUCAUGAUCCCGGGGUCCUGGGAUCGAGCCCCACAUCAGGCUCCCUGCUCCGCAGGAAGCCUGCUUCUCCCUCUCCCACUCCCCCUGCUUGUGUUCCCUCUCUCGCUCUCUGUCAAAAAAUAAAUAAAAUCUUAAAAAAAAACAAAUACUAUAAUUUGAAGUACUUGAACCCAAUGGCCUUUUUCCUUUCAAACUUGUACUGUUACUACAAGUUUAUAGCAAAGAAUGUAGGUUUGCUCCUUGAUAAACCCAGGUUUGCCAUGCCCAAAGGAUAUCCCUUUGCCCAGUAAAUGAAGAACCACUAUGAAUAAGGCUUUUGGCUUGAUGCUAAGUAAACAAAGACAAUGGAGCUCACAGUCCUGUGUGGGAGAUAAAAAUAAAUACAACUGGCUAUAAAAAGACAUGUGUAACAGACAAAACAGAUAUCAAGUGCUGAGGUAGCAGAGGAGGGCAAUAAUGGUUUCUUGUGUGAGUGGGAGUUUCACAGAAGUGACACAGGGACAUAACAUUUAAGUAUGGAUUGGAUUGCUGGUGAAAAAUCAGAGAGGAAUAUGGAUAAAUCUGUGAGAGAAUACCAUGAGAAGACUUAGAGACAUAAGUAGAUGCAUGUGACUAAAUUAGUGAAAUGUGAUACUGAGAAGCAGUGAAGAAGAGAAUGGCAAAGAAAAAACCUGGAAAGAUACACUGUGAAAACUUUCCAUGGAACUCUAAACUUUAUAUUUGUUGUUAUAAAAUAGUACUCAAAUAUUUCUUAUUCACCUCUUACCAGGAAUAUAACAUUUUUCAAUUCACCAACUUAGUUACUGAAAUAUAAUUUUGGAAAUGGUACAUACAUCUAAAGAUGUAAGGUAUACCUUACAUUUUUAAGAAACAAAGUAACAGUAGACAUAUUUUAAUGUAAGUAUUUCUAUGGUUAUAAAAGAAAAAUAAGGCAGGAGGCAUGAUCAAAUAACCAAAAUGGAAUAACAAACUGUUAAAGACAGACAUUACUUUCAAAAGCAGUGGGCAUCUUUAGGAAAUGAUAUUUAUGAAGGGGGUACAUUUCCUCACAAGGAAAUGCCUCAACAGAUAAUGAGGAAACAGCUACAAAAUACACCUUGCUUAAAAAGUUACAAACCAUUUUAGAAAUUAACUUUAUAGCCCUUCAAUCAAAAGGCAUGUGGCUAAGAUUUUUCUUUUUUUUCCUUUUUUCCCCCCACAAGUUUUUAUUUACAUUCCAGUUAGUUAACAUAUAGUGUAAUAUUAGCUUCAGGUGUACAAUACAGUGAUUCAUCACUUCAUGCAACACCUGCCUUCCUUAAUCCGUAUUACCUAUUUCAUCCUCCCACCUCCAACCACUUCCCCUCCAGUAACCACCAGUUUGUUCUCUAUAGUUAAGAGUCUGUUUCUUGGUUUGCCUCUCUUUUUUGUUUGUUUGUUAAAUGGUUUAUCUAACCAAAACCUAUAAAAGCUACUUUUUGGUAAAGAAAAGGAAAAUGGUCCCAAGUCAGUAGUCUCCCAAGUGAGAAGGGCUUAAAACCAAGCUUAUGAUCAGAAAUAAUUCAAAAUUGCUUUAGAAGUUGUUGAAAACAAAAAUGGGGGGAAGUGCCAUUCAUUCAUUUUGAUUGCUUGUUUUCACUCAAUGGACUGUCAUAUGCAAUGUCCUAAUCUGGUAAAAUUUCAAUUUAGACAAUCCCAGUCUUUCUCUUCAUCAUCAACGUCUGGAAAAGAAAGCCUAUAACAAAUGGGAGUAUAUUCUCAAGUAAGACCUUGUAGUGGCCUCCUCCACAAUCUUUACUGAGAUUAUAUCCAGCUUCAGAAACUUCCUAGUCAUAAAAUGAAGUAAUUUAUGUGAGACAGAAACAGUAAAUAUAAAGCUUUAUUUUUCUUAAAUCUUCUUUUCUGAGUUUUAUGACUUCUAUAAUACAAAUUCAUCCACAACCUUACCAGCCUUUUUUCUCUACCAGGCAUUUCCAGAAUGUCAAUACAUAAACUCCCCAAUCUCUUCUCUAGCAGAUACAUAUUCCCAUAUCUCCACCCUGUAACAAAACCUGAUUUUUCAGUUGCCUGCUAAGUAUUCAAACAUGGCCUAAUAAACUGCACGUUUGAACUAAAAAACGUACCAAAUCAACUUCAGUGUACUCUCUUCAAAACUAGCAAGUUUCUUCAAUUAACUUUCAAAAUAAAAAUAAGACCCCCAAUGUUGCAGAAGGAACAGGCCUUAAAGAUACUGCAAAUUACAGUUCAAAUUGGCAUUGCCUUUUGGAGAAGAAAACCAACAUACAUCAAGAACAUGAAAAUAAUCCUAACCUUAAAACCUAGCCAAUACCACAUUUCUGGGAAUCCAGACUAAAGAAAUUAUCCUAAAUUCUUAAUAACAACAGUAAAAGGAAGAAAAAGUUGAGCAACAAAGAAUAGAGAACCCAGAAAUAAACUCAUGCAUAAUGCUCUAUUAACAUAUGACAAAGGUGCCAAGAAUAUACAUACAAUGGAGAAAGGAUAGCCUCCUUCAGUAGAUGGUGCUGGGAAAACUAGACAGCCAGAGGCAAAAGAAUGAAACUGGAUCCCUAUUGCACACCAUUACACAAAAUUCAACUCAAACCAAUUAAAGACUUGAACAUAAGACCCAAAAGCAUAAAAAUCCUAGAAGAACAUAGGAAGUAAGCUCUCAGGUAUCAGUCUUCGCAAUGAUUUUUUGGAUUUGACACCAAAAACCAAGACAAUGAAAGCAAGCUAUACUAAAAUGUUGCUGCACAGGGGCGCCUGGGUGGCUCAGUCGGUUAAGCGUCUGCCUUCGGCUCAGGUCACGAUCCCAGGGUCCUGGGAUCGAGCCCCGCAUCGGGCUCCCUGUUCGGCGGGAAGCCUGCUUCUCCUUCUCCCUCUCCCACUCCCCCUGCUUGUGUUCCCUCUCUCGCUGUGUCUCUCUCUGUCAAAUAAAUCAAUUAAAAAUCUUUAAAAAAAAAAUAAUAAUAAAAUAAAAUGUUGCUGCACAGCAAAGGAAACCA